UCUGACGGAGCGACGCCGCGUGUGGGAAUAAGCCCUUCGGGGUGUAAACCACUGUCUGGGGUUACCAAGCAAACGAGCCUAAUACGUUCGCGCGUUGAGGAGCCCCGCAGGAAGCCACGGCUAACUUCGUGCCAGCAGCCGCGGUAAGACGAAGGUGGCAAGCGUUGUUCGGAAUCACUGGGCUUAAAGAGCACGUAGGCGGCUCAUCAAGUGUCUUGUGAAAGCCCUCGGCUCAACCGAGGAAUUGCUGGGCAAACUGGUGGGCUUGAGGCAGGUAGGGGCGUGUGGAACUCUUGGUGGAGCGGUGGAAUGCGUAGAUAUCAAGAGGAACGCCGGAGGCGAAAGCGAUGCGCUGGGCCUGUCCUGACGCUGAGGUGCGAAAGCCAGGGGAGCGAACGGGAUUAGAUACCCC
rnacentral:rRNA from 1 species